rnacentral:lncRNA from 1 species
GAGAGAGCUAGAAGAAGAAGUUGAGAAUCUGAGGCAGUCCUGGAUAAGGGGUGGAGCAGAUAAUUCUAGGUCGGAAGGAGCAGAGCUUCCCUAGGGCUCUUUUUGGCCUUCUGUCUUUUCAUGUAUACAUUUUUCCUUUUGUUGUUUUGUCUCGCUUUUAUCGUUUUGCUUUUCCUCCUUUGGCCUUCUGGGCUUCGUGGUGUAUAUUUCGCAAAUGGAAUGAAAAGGAGAUUUUGUGUUACCUCGUCCGCAUAUUGUAUUAAAUUAUCGUCCACCGAACUUUUCUUAUCGUUCGACUUGUCCGAUGUUGACGUCAUUUGGAGGUGCCCAGUCAUCGAUACGCUGAUUUACUUUUCUCAUCGUCCAUGGCCGUAGGCUCGAGCUUGGUGGUCCGAUCUCCGCAUUACCCCGAAGGUGUCGUUGUUUUCUUGACCUGUGUCGAGAGCCCUUUUAGAGGCCGGGGGCGCCUGGUAGGAACUUUUCGUCUUUGUUGAGAUGAGGUUCCUUACGUCUUUGGCGUAGUUUGUCCUUCAUCUAUUUUCGAUGUAGUUCAUCGCUUUCCUUUUUAAUUUCCUCCCUCUUUUCGGAGUGAGGGUCCUCCCCUUGCCUUUCACGGGGUUGCGUAGAAGUAUGGAGGUGCCGCUGAGGGGCCUUUCCCCUUCAUCCAAUCUUGUUGGGCGGCCAGGUUUCAUCACCGUCAGGAUGAGG